GGAGAGAAUAAGAAAAAUAAUUUUCGUAAUUUUAGUAAUUUUUAAUGAAAAUAAAGUAAAGACUAAAGAGAAAAGUACUGUGAAGGAAAGUUGUUAAAACUUUUUAUAGAAGAAGUAAAAUUUUGUGCCUCGUGUAUCAGAAAAAGUUUAUAUAGUUUAGUUACAAUAAGUAUCUCGAAAUAAAAUACAGUAAUUUUUAUAAAAUUUUCUUUUUAGAAAAAAAGAAUUUAAUAUAAAAUUUAAAGUGAAAUGCUAGCUGAGUUUUAUGAUAUCUAGUUUUUUUAAAAAUAAAUUUAAUUUAAUUUUUAUAAAGAAAAAGUUAUAAAAUUAAAUGGUAGGGGGGAUUAGCUCUUUACGGAAAAGAUAAUGAAAUAGUUAAAUAAAAGUAAAUUAUAUAUAAAUUAGGCUUAGAAGUAGCUAUAUUGAAAAAGUGUUUUAACUAAAUUAUAAUUGCUUGAAUAUUUAAAAUAAAACUUUUCUUAGGUAUAAAAAAAUGGCUCAAACAAAACAAAACAAGAUAUGAUGAUUUUAUUAGUAAAAUUUAUUGAGUAAAUAAAGAUGUUAAAAGGUAAAAAUUGUUUAAAAAAAUAAGUA
rnacentral:rRNA from 1 species